CCCGCUCCAGGAGCGCGGUCUCUCCAUCCGCGCCCCCCCGCGCAGCGAUGUCCCGCGGGGGGCGCGGGCGGUGCCGAAGGUGCAGCCGGCACUGAGGGAACAAAGGCGGCGGCGGCGGGGAACAAAGAGCGGCAGUCCUCCUGGUCAAAGUCUCCUGCAGAUCAGCAAGAAAAGUGACGUGUGAAGACAGACUGCAGUGACCUCUUGCUUUGUUUGGAGCUUUGUUAAAGCUUUAUUGGGACCCUAAAUUGAAACUCGGCAAAGCUACUCACGGACAAAGCAAAGCUGCAGCUGUAGAGAACAAACAGUAAUCGCUGCCAGCACCGAGCUGUGUUUGCUCAGUAAAGUGGACUACAUGGAAACAGUGAUGUGUGUUGAACAGGCAAUCACGUCUGCAUUUGGCUGCCUGGGAGGAUUCUCUUCCAGUCUCCAGUGCCAGAUCUGGAGACUGAAAACCAAUUCCCAGUAGUGCCUCUUUGGCCAAACAGUACCAGUAUUACAGUCCCACCAUACAGCUUAUGUAUUUACCUUGUCUUUUGAAACACCCAGACAAGACACACCAGCACCAACCUGAGGGCUUGUGGACAACAACACUGUGCUCUGGCUGAUGUGAGUACGGAGCUAACAAAGCUGCUAUCACCUUAUGUGUGCCAGCUCAUGUCACAUCUCACCACUCUGCCACUGGUGAUACAAUUGAUUUGAACAGGCUCGUGUGUGACCUUGUAAAACUCCCCACAAAACAUGAGGGAUGUGAUGCUGAUGCCUUAAGAGGCCUCCUAGACACGGAGGCUGGACAGGAGUAAAAGAAUAAAAUAGGUAUUUAUUUGAAAGGCCUUCAAAGGUACACCCUGGGAGCCACAGGCUAUUGCCAAAAGGGACCCCAAGAUGGACCCCAGGUCACGAGUUCUUCACUCUUUUAUAGGUUUGGUUCAUUUGCAUA